UACGGAGGAUCCAAGCGUUAUCCGGAUUUAUUGGGUUUAAAGGGUGCGUAGGCGGCUUAUUAAGUCAGGGGUGAAAGACGGUGGCUCAACCAUCGCAGUGCCCUUGAUACUGAUGAGCUUGAAUACACUUGAGGUAGGCGGAAUGUGACAAGUAGCGGUGAAAUGCAUAGAUAUGUCACAGAACACCAAUUGCGAAGGCAGCUUACUAAGGUGCAAUUGACGCUGAGACGCGAAAGCGUGGGGAGCAAACAGG
rnacentral:rRNA from 1 species